UCUUCUUUCGCGCUCACUCGUAACCUGCUAACUUACGAACCCCUGGUUGGAAUCCGGGGCUCUUCUCGUAAGCC
rnacentral:tRNA from 1 species